GAUGAAGAACGUAGCGAAAUGCGAUAAGUAAUGUGAAUUGCAGAAUUCAGUGAAUCAUCGAAUCUUUGAACGCACAUUGCGCCCCCUGGUAUUCCGGGGGGCAUGCCUGUUCGAGCGUCAUUUCACCACUCAAGCCUCGCUUGGUAUUGGGCAACGCGGUCCGCCGCGUGCCUCAAAUCGACCGGCUGGGUCUUCUGUCCCCUAAGCGUUGUGGAAACUAUUCGCUAAAGGGUGUUCGGGAGGCUACGCCGUAAAACAACCCCAUUUCUAAGGUUGACCUCGGAUCAGGUAGGGAUACCCGCUGAACUUAAGCAUAUCAAUAAGCGGAGA
rnacentral:misc_RNA from 1 species